rnacentral:rRNA from 1 species
GAUGAACGCUGGCGGCGUGCCUAAUACAUGCAAGUCGAGUGAACAGACGAGGAGCUUGCUCCUCUGACGUUAGCGGCGGACGGGUGAGUAACACGUGGAUAACCUACCUAUAAGACUGGGAUAACUUCGGGAAACCGGAGCUAAUCCCGGAUAAUAUAUUGAACCGCAUGGUUCAAUAGUGAAAGACGGUUUUGCUGUCACUUAUAGAUGGAUCCGCGCCGCAUUAGCUAGUUGGUAAGGUAACGGCUUACCAAGGCGACGAUGCGUAGCCGACGUGAGAGGGUGGUCGGCCACACUGGAACGGAGCCAGGGUCCAGGCUCCUACGGGAGGCAGCAGUAGGGGAUCUUCCGCAAUGGGCGGAAGCCUGGCGGAGCGACGACGCGUGAGUUAUGAAGGUCUUCGGAGCGUAAAACUCUGUUAUUAGUGAAGAACAAAUGUGUAAGUAACUAUGCACGUCUUGACGGUACCUAAUCAGAAAGCCACGGCUAACUACGUG